AACGAACGCUGGCGGCAUGCCUAACACAUGCAAGUCGAACGAGACCUUCGGGUCUAGUGGCGCACGGGUGCGUAACGCGUGGGAACCUGCCCUUAGGUUCGGAAUGACUCCCCGAAAGGGGUGCUAAUACCGGAUAAUGUCUUCGGACCAAAGAUUUAUCGCCUUUGGAUGGGCCCGCGUUGGAUUAGCUAGUUGGUAGGGUAAAAGCCUACCAAGGCGACGAUCCAUAGCUGGUCUGAGAGGAGGAUCAGCCACACUGGGACUGAGACACGGCCCAGACUGCUACGGGAAGCAGCAGUGGGGAAUAUUGGACGAUGGGCGAAAGCCUGAUCCAGCAAUGCCGCGUGAGUGAUGAAGGCCUUAGGGUUGUAAAGCUCUUUUACCCGGGAUGAUAAUGACAGUACCGGGAGAAUAAGCUCCGGCUAACUCCGUG
rnacentral:rRNA from 1 species